GAUGAACGCUGGCGGCGUGCCUAAUACAUGCAAGUCGAGCGAACAGAUGAGGAGCUUGCUCCUCUGACGUUAGCGGCGGACGGGUGAGUAACACGUGGAUAACCUACCUAUAAGACUGGGAUAACUUCGGGAAACCGGAGCUAAUACCGGAUAAUAUAUUGAACCGCAUGGUUCAAUAGUGAAAGACGGUUUUGCUGUCACUUAUAGAUGGAUCCGCGCCGCAUUAGCUAGUUGGUAAGGUAACGGCUUACCAAGGCAACGAUGCGUAGCCGACCUGAGAGGGUGAUCGGCCACACUGGAACUGAGACACGGUCCAGACUCCUACGGGAGGCAGCAGUAGGGAAUCUUCCGCAAUGGGCGAAAGCCUGACGGAGCAAUGCCGCGUGAGUGAUGAAGGUCUUCGGAUCGUAAAGCUCUGUUAUUGGGGAAGAACAGAUGUGUAAGUAACUAUGCACGUCUUGACGGUACCUAAUCAGAAAGCCACGGCUAACUACGUG
rnacentral:rRNA from 1 species